GUACUACUUUCUCUUUUCCCUUUAUCUUUUCUCUCUGUAUUCUCUUCUCUCGCAAACCCUAAAUCAUGGUGCCGUGAAAAUCCAACCUGAAACAGACAUGGCUCUUCGUCUUCCCCCUUUCUCUCUCUGUUCCUCCUUCAAACUACUAAAUACUCACUACUAAACCCUAGCGCACCCCAUCAUCUUUUUCCUCCGUCAAACCCACAAAUCAAUCGUGAAUGAAAGGGGGAAGAAAGUUUUUGGAUAUUUAGCUCGACUUGGAAAUGAUACAGAUGAUUUUCAAUUGGAGGCAAGAGUAUUCAAAAUUACAUUUUCUCAAAACAGAAAGCUUGUCCAGCCGUACCAAACUUGGUUUGCACAAUCCCUUUAAGGCACCAUAGAGGUACAAUGUCACUGCAGUCACAGUCAGUAUGACUGCAGGAUCCUGCACUCAAGUGCAAUAAAGUUAAAAUGGUUUAGAGGGAGAUGCAAUUUAAAAGAUGUAAUGACAAACAUAUCCUUCAAAUUGCACUACAAAAUCAUUGACUGCAUGAAACUGUGUUGGUUUUAACUGCAGAGGAUUAAAACCCCUGUUUUUGAUGCAUUAUUUCCUCUACUCUCAAAAAGCAUGCUAUAUGUCAACUCAAAAUGUAAUCGAUAGGCAUAAUAAAAAAAUAUUAAUUCUGCACAGAAGUGACAAGAUAUCUCACUGGUAUCAAUGAAAAUCAAUAGGUUUUGAUGUAGACAAAAAGCAGCUUUAUGUGUGGAAGCAAGCAACUCUCCUGUGAUAAAUGUAGAACCUGCUUUAGGCGCUUCAGUCAGAUUAAAAAGAUAUUGCUGCAUUUUAACUGGGCUGAAUUAGUUUGUAUAUUCGGAUCUGAAAGUAAACAGACUAAAGGGUCUAAUUAGUUUGGUUUUUUUUCUUGCUGGUGUAUGUGUAUCCUAAUAACUUGAUUUGGUUUAUUCUUUAUGUAUUUCUUAAUAAAAUAAAAUUUAACUCAUCUAAUUGUGUCAGUAGUACUUUAUUAUUAUUAUUAUUGUGUCCAACUAAUCCCAAGUACAUGGUUAAUAGUCAAUUAUUUUUGAACUAAAUACACAACCAAGUCUAAGGCUCGGUACGCCUUUUUGGCAGAAACCUGUACAGACUGAGCACAAUUCUAGCAGAAAAAAGCAUGACUAUUGUUACUGUGUCUCCAAGCUACCUAUAUUUGAUAUGUUAACUCCUAUUUUCUCCAUCCUAAUGGCAUGGGCUGCGUGUUUUGGUGACUAAAAAGGGUGCAGCAAGAGCCAAAUUCUAAAUCAACCAAAUCCAUGCAAUAUCAAUUGUAAGAAUAUUGUUUACAAUUUAAAGAAGAUAAAAACUACAAUUUUA